GAUGAACGCUAGCGGCAGGCCUAAUACAUGCAAGUCGGACGGGAUUGAGAAGCUUGCUUUUCAUGAGAGUGGCGCACGGGUGCGUAACACGUAUGUAACCUACCUUAAUCAGGGGGAUAGCCUCUCGAAAGAGAGAUUAACACCGCAUAAAAUCAAUUUAUGGCAUCAUAGAAUGAUCAAAUAUUUAUAGGAUUAAGAUGGGCAUGCGGAACAUUAGCUAGUUGGUAAGGUAACGGCUUACCAAGGCUACGAUGUUUAGGGGAUCUGAGAGGAUGACCCCCCACACUGGUACUGAGACACGGACCAGACUCCUACGGGAGGCAGCAGUAAGGAAUAUUGGUCAAUGGGCGCAAGCCUGAACCAGCCAUGCCGCGUGCAGGAAGACGGCCCUACGGGUUGUAAACUGCUUUUGUACCGGAAUAAACCUUUGUAUGUAUACGAAGCUGAAUGUACGGUAAGAAUAAGGAUCGGCUAACUCCGUGCCAGCCGCCGCGGUAA
rnacentral:rRNA from 1 species